rnacentral:ncRNA from 1 species
GUGAAUGCAAUGACGAGAAGAGUAGGUUAUUUAAACUUUCAGAGAGAAAUCCUCCUAGCUGUAAGGGAUUUUAAGUAGGAAAUAACUGAAGUGCAUCUCAGAGCACUGAAUUGAAGCUUAGUAGACUUCAGCGGGUAUGCCCGUUAUAAAAUUGAGGUAUGAUUGUACCAAAAAUUUAAGAGUUAUCAUAUAAUUUUUAUAUGAUAAACAGAGUGGAACCGUGGAAGUUAAACUUCUGCCUCUGUA